CAUCGAUUGGAAACUUCAUUGAUGCAAAUAAAUAGUACUGAGAUAGUGGCGCUAUCAGGCGUAUUAUCCCGAACAAACAAUACUUUAUCUCAAAUAGAGAAUUAAUUUGCUGUUCCUGAAGUAAUCUCAUUUCGGAAGCAAAAUGCGAGUAUGUAUACGCACGUCCAAGGAACAAUAAAGAUUCAAGUUCGACGAAAUUUAACGUAUUUUUUGUAAUCAACCACGUGCAAGUCAGCCGUGUUGUUUUCUCGUGAAAUCAAUUGCGAGUCAGGAAAAGCAUAGGGACUGGUCGUAUGCGGAUGAUGAUGCUGGAGACAAGGAUGAUACUUGUCCAUACAAAACCGUUUAUUUUUGACAUAAAAUGACUUACACUACGAACAAAAUAGACUGCCUUGAGGAUCAGGCGCUGGAUAUGAUGUUCGUCGAUUGUCGUAAGUGAGAUGAUCUUCUCCACGAAUCUUCGAAGGUCAGGUAGUUUGGAUGAGGUCCGUCGGAUAAAUUGUAAAGCCUGGUACCCACAUGCGGCAACGGACGACGGAAAUCGUCGACGGAAACGGUUGCCGUUCCGUCGUCUUUCCGUGUCUCGUGUACUCACAUGCGGAAAUUACCCUACAAUUGAAACGCGCCAUCUGCCAGCCGUAAAUAUAAACAAGCUACUACAGUAGGUAGGCCACGUGCCAGUAGUCGAAAAUGGCGUCUACCGGGAUUGCUUUGUUAUAUCAAUUAAACUUUUUAAGUUUGCCUUCGAUCUUAUCGCAAAUAAAAAAACCUGAAAAACGAAUAAUUUGGAUAGGGAAAAUAUUCUAAAUCGUCGAAAGUUAGGAAUAUCGAAUACUUUCGUCGCCGAAUUACGCUUACUCCAUUCCCAAUACUUUACGCAGCAUUAUUUGUCAUCAAGGACCUCGAACUGAGGAGCUUUCACGACGAAGGCAAUCUUCAAGGCUCUCGAGAAUUAACCGGAAAAAUUUCAAUACGGAUAAAGUGAAUAUCAAUACAAGAGUUUGUCAGAAACAUUUCAUUUCAGACUGGUGCCAACAUUAAACAUGAGGUAUUAGAGAGGCCACAACACAACUGCAUAUCAGGAGCGUUAUGAAAGAGCAUGUAAUCAACAAAUUAUUUUCAAGUAGGCCUCUGUAUGGUAGU